UCGAUGAAGAACGCAGCGAAAUGCGAUAAGUAAUGUGAAUUGCAGAAUUCAGUGAAUCAUCGAAUCUUUGAACGCAUCUUGCGCUCCUUGGUAUUCCGAGGAGCAUGCCUGUUUGAGUGUCAUUAAAUUCUCAAACCAUGACUUUUGUUGUGGCUUGGAUAGUUGGGUGUUGCCAGUCUUUUUUAUUGCAGGCUCACCUUAAAUACAUAAGUGGUGCAUUUAGAAACUUGUUAGGUGUUGUAAAUUAUCAAUACAUCUAUGUUUCUCUGAAUAUACUGCUUCUAACAAACCUCAUUUGAUGAUUUUGACCUCAAAUCAGGUAGGACUACCCGCUGAACUUAA
rnacentral:rRNA from 1 species